GAUAAAAUGCUGCUUCAGUUUUGCUAAUACGCAGCGUUAUUUUUCUGCCUGGAGACAAGCUGGAUUCUAACACCACAUGGUAAGGAGCUUGAGUCAAUAUUUGGAGAUUAAAUGAAGAGGAAAUGAGCUGAUGAGAUAUUUUUAGCGGGUUGCCUGCCGUGUCGUUAGGUGCAAAUGUGCCAAAGUGUAAAAUGUAUGUCAACUCAAGAAUUUAAUCCAAAUUUGGAGCUAGGAAUUUUUACAGGACCCAUUGAAAGUUUGGACAGCAGGGAACUAGUCGUCAGCCAAAAUGUAAAUCCUCCGAUCUGACAGAGGUGUCAAAUGCAGGUCCAGAAAUUGAAAACCCAUGCAGG